UACGUAGGGGGCGAGCGUUGUCCGGAUUUAUUGGGCGUAAAGCGCGGGCAGGCGGCCCCGUAAGUCGGCCGUGAAAGCGCCGGGCUCAACUCGGCGAGGACGGGCGAGACUGCAGGGCUGGAGAGAGGCAGAGGGCGGUGGAAUUCCGGGUGUAGUGGUGGAAUGCGUAGAGCUCCGGAGGAACACCAGUGGCGAAGGCGGCCGCCUGGGCCUUUUCUGACGCUGAGGCGCGAAAGCUAGGGGAGCGAACGGG
rnacentral:rRNA from 1 species